UUAGUCUUAGUCUUUUUAAGAAUUCUACCUAAGAAUAAUUAACUUAGAUACAUAAUAAUAAUUAAGUUAUUUAUUUUUUUUUGGAACCUUGUAUAUGAGAAUUUUAAAUGUAAAGUCACACGUCUGUUGUGGCUAUGUUUAAUAAAGACUUAAUAAUAAUAAUAAUAAUAAUAAAACACGGACGGGGGAUAAAACACGGACGAGGGAAUAAAACACGGACGGGGGAUAAAACACGGACGGGGGGAUAAAACCUCAAGAAGGCGUUUGAUACUGUUGAUCAUGCAAUAUUGCUGUCAAAGUUAAGCGUAUAUGGUUUUGGAGGUUCUACAGGCAACUGGUUUAGGUCCUAUUUACAUGACCGCAAUCAAAAAUGUUAUGUCAAUGGUCAUCUUUCCAGUUAUCGCUUAUUGCCUUGCGGUAUCCCGCAAGGAACUAUCUUAGGACCUUUGCUUUUUCUUAUCUACAUUAAUGAUUUACCAAAUUGCCUGACACAUUCCCAACCACGUAUGUGCGCCGAUGACACUAAUUUCACAUUUGCUAGCAAUAAUGUUGAUGACAUAGACUAUAAGCUUAAUCAAGAUCUUGAUAAUGUCAAUAAAUGGCUCAUAGCCAAUAAGCUAACUCGUAAUCAAUCUAAAACAGAGUUCAUGCUAAUUGGG